UCUUUAAGUAAUCAUUUAAAGUACAGCCUGCUCAAUUCUAACGUAAAUAGCCGCAGCUCCACUGUGCUAAGGUAGCAUAAUAAUUAGCCUCCUAAUUAGAGGAUAGAAUGAAUGACUAAACGAGACGACAACUGUCUCACAAGCUAAAGAUAAAACUAAUAUAUCAGUAAAAACGCUGAUAUAAAAAGCAGGACGACAAGACCCUGAAGAACUUUCCAUUUAGCUGGGGCGGCUCUUAAAAAAACCUUGAUACUCACUAAAUAACAAACAACUAGAAUAUUUAACUCAAGUUACCGCAGGGAUAACAGCGCAAUUCCCCUCAAAAGCUCCAAUCCAAAGGGGAGAUUACGACCUCGAUGUUGAAUUAAUUCCCUAAACCUGCGCAAAAGCAGUUAUAAGGUGGUCUGUUCGACCAUUAAAUAAUU
rnacentral:rRNA from 1 species